rnacentral:rRNA from 1 species
GACGAACGCUGGCGGCGUGCCUAAUACAUGCAAGUCGAACGCUCAUUUUUCACCGAACUUCGGUUCACCGAGAAAUGGGAGUGGCGAACGGGUGAGUAACACGUGGGUAACCUACCCAUCAGCGGGGGAUAACACUUGGAAACAGGUGCUAAUACCGCAUAAUUCUUUUCUUCGCCUGGAGGACAGAUGAAAGACGCUUUUGCGUCACUGAUGGAUGGACCCGCGCUGCAUUAGCUAGUUGGUGGGGUAACGGCUCACCAAGGCCACGAUGCAUAGCCGACCUGGGAGGGUGAUCGGCCACACUGGGACUGAGACACGGCCCAGACUCCUACGGGAGGCAGCAGUAGGGAAUCUUCGGCAAUGGACGAAAGUCUGACCGAGCAACGCCGCGUGAGUGAAGAAGGUUUUCGGAUCGUAAAACUCUGUUGUUAGAGAAGAAUAAGGAUGAGAGUAGAAUGUUCAUCCCUUGACGGUAUCUAACCAGAAAGCCACGGCUAACUACGUGCCAGCAGCCGCCGUAAUAC